rnacentral:rRNA from 1 species
GACGAACGCUGGCGGCGUGCUUAACACAUGCAAGUCGAACGGAAAGGCCCUGCUUUUGCGGGGUUCUCGAGUGGCGCACGGGUGAGUAACACGUGAGUAACCUGCCCUUGACUUUGUGGUAUCUUCAGGAGACUCGGGCUAAUACCGGAUAUGAGCUCCUGCUGCAUGUUGGGGGUUAGUAAGUUUCGGCGGUGGGGGCUGGUCUCGCGGCUUAUCAGCUUGUUGGUGUGGUAGUGGCUUACCAAGGCUUUGAGGGGUAGCCUGCCUGAGAGGGUGACCGGGCACAUUGGGACUGAGAGACGGCCCAGACUCCAAUGGGAGGCAGCAGGGGAGAACAUUGCAGAACGGGGGGAAGCGUGAGGCAGCGACGCCGCGUGCGGGAUGCUGUCCUUCGAGUUGUAAACCACUGUCGAAGGUGACGAAGCGUGAGUGACGGUAAUGGGUAAAGAAGCAACGGCUAACUACGUG